rnacentral:misc_RNA from 1 species
CUGAACGCCUCUAAGUCAGUAAAAGAGGUACAAAUCUUCAUUGGGUGUGCAAAUUUCUACCGAAGGUUAUAAAAAACCUACCUGAAAUAUGUAAACCAACAACCGAUACCCUAAAAAACUAAGAGAAAGGGGUGAAAACCCCUUUUUACUGGGGACAGGAGCAAGAAAAAACCUUUGAGGAAUGAAAAAGAAAGUUGACAAUCCGCGCCAAUCCUAGCACAUUUCUACCCAGAUAGAAAGACAGUGGUAGAAACCGACGCCAGUGAGGUUGCCCUAGGCUACGUAUUGUCACAAUACCUUGGGAAGCGGUUACACCCAGUGGCGUUCCACUCCCAAAAGCUGAACGAUGCCGAACGAAACUAUGAGAUCCACGGCCAUAGGACUCUG